UUGAUCAAGAUAGUGUGAAGCAAAAUCAACUCAUGGUGCCCAACAAAACUUGACCUACAGAAGCUUCACCCACAAAAGCUUCACCCACAAAAGCUUGACCCACAAAAGCUUCACCUACAAAAGCUUGACCCACAAAAGCUUCACCAACACAAAAGCUUCACCUACAAAAGCUAGUGUGAAGCAAUAUCAAUUCAUAGUGCCCAACAAAGCUUGAACUAAAAGGAUUAUUUUGUGAAAACAUGUUCAUUUAAGCAACAUCUAUAAGCAUGCAAUUAACAAUUAAAGGCGGAAUCAUGCUAUCAUGCACUUAAAAACAAAACAUUAACCAUGAAAUUCAAAGCCUAGUAGAUUG
rnacentral:lncRNA from 1 species